GAGAGGAGCUUGCUCUUCUUGGAUGAGUUGCGAACGGGUGAGUAACGCGUAGGUAACCUGCCUUGUAGCGGGGGAUAACUAUUGGAAACGAUAGCUAAUACCGCAUAACAAUGGAUGACACAUGUCAUUUAUUUGAAAGGGGCAAUUGCUCCACUACAAGAUGGACCUGCGUUGUAUUAGCUAGUAGGUGAGGUAAUGGCUCACCUAGGCGACGAUACAUAGCCGACCUGAGAGGGUGAUCGGCCACACUGGGACUGAGACACGGCCCAGACUCCUACGGGAGGCAGCAGUAGGGAAUCUUCGGCAAUGGGGGCAACCCUGACCGAGCAACGCCGCGUGAGUGAAGAAGGUUUUCGGAUCGUAAAGCUCUGUUGUAAGUCAAGAACGGGUGUGAGAGUGGAAAGUUCACACUGUGACGGUAGCUUACCAGAAAGGGACGGCUAACUACGUGCCAGCAGCCGCGGUAAUACGUAGGUCCCGAGCGUUGUCCGGAUUUAUUGGGCGUAAAGCGAGCGCAGGCGGUUUGAUAAGUCUGAAGUUAAAGGCUGUGGCUCAACCAUAGUUCGCUUUGGAAACUGUCAAACUUGAGUGCAGAAGGGGAGAGUGGAAUUCCAUGUGUAGCGGUGAAAUGCGUAGAUAUAUGGAGGAACACCGGUGGCGAAAGCGGCUCUCUGGUCUGUAACUGACGCUGAGGCUCGAAAGCGUGGGGAGCGAACAGGAUUAGAUACCCUGGUAGUCCACGCCGUAAACGAUGAGUGCUAGGUGUUGGAUCCUUUCCGGGAUUCAGUGCCGCAGCUAACGCAUUAAGCACUCCGCCUGGGGAGUACGACCGCAAGGUUGAAACUCAAAGGAAUUGACGGGGGCCCGCACAAGCGGUGGAGCAUGUGGUUUAAUUCGAAGCAACGCGAAGAACCUUACCAGGUCUUGACAUCCCGAUGCUAUUUCUAGAGAUAGAAAGUUACUUCGGUACAUCGGUGACAGGUGGUGCAUGGUUGUCGUCAGCUCGUGUCGUGAGAUGUUGGGUUAAGUCCCGCAACGAGCGCAACCCCUAUUGUUAGUUGCCAUCAUUCAGUUGGGCACUCUAGCGAGACUGCCGGUAAUAAACCGGAGGAAGGUGGGGAUGACGUCAAAUCAUCAUGCCCCUUAUGACCUGGGCUACACACGUGCUACAAUGGUUGGUACAACGAGUUGCGAGUCGGUGACGGCGAGCUAAUCUCUUAAAGCCAAUCUCAGUUCGGAUUGUAGGCUGCAACUCGCCUACAUGAAGUCGGAAUCGCUAGUAAUCGCGGAUCAGCACGCCGCGGUGAAUACGUUCCCGGGCCUUGUACACACCGCCCGUCACACCACGAGAGUUUGUAACACCCGAAGUCGGUGAGGUAACCUUUUGG
rnacentral:rRNA from 1 species